UGAAUGGGGAAACCCGGCCGUAAGGUCAUCCUGCGCUGAAUAUAUAGGCGUAGGAAGCAAACCUGGGGAACUGAAACAUCUAAGUACCCAGAGGAAAGGACAUCAACCGAGACUCCGUUAGUAGUGGCGAGCGAACGCGGACCAGGCCAAUGCCGUUUAUUUUUUAACUGGAACCUUCUGGAAAGUUGGGCCCAAGUGGGUGAUAGCCCCGUACAGGUAAUAGAAAUAAACGGAUUCGAGUAGGGCGGGACACGUGAAAUCCUGUCUGAACAUGGGGGG
rnacentral:rRNA from 1 species